CCUACGGGUGGCUGCAGUAAGGAAUAUUGGUCAAUGGACGCAAGUCUGAACCAGCCAUGCCGCGUGGAGGAUGAAGGUCCUCUGGAUUGUAAACUUCUUUUAUUUGGGAAGAAACCCACGAUUUCUAUUGUGGUUGACGGUACCAGAUGAAUAAGCACCGGCUAACUCCGUGCCAGCAGCCGCGGUAAUACGGAGGGUGCAAGCGUUAUCCGGAUUCACGGGGUUGAAAGGGUGCGUGGGCGGGCAGGUAGAAAUCCCCGAGCUUAACUUGGUAACUGCCGUUGAUACUAUCUGUCGUGAAUACUGUGGAGGUAAGCGGAAUAUGUCAUGUAGCGGUGAAAUGCUUAGAUAGGACAUAGAACACCUAUUGCGAAGGCAGCUUGCUACACAGUCAUUGACGCUGAGGCACGAAAGCGUGGGGAUCAAACAGGAUUAGAUACCCCAGUAGUC
rnacentral:rRNA from 1 species